rnacentral:rRNA from 1 species
UACCAGUACCCCGAGUGGUCGGGACGAUUAUUGGGCCUAAAGCAUCCGUAGCCGGCCUUACAAGUCCUCCGUUAAAUCCAGCUGCUUAACAGAUGGGCUGCGGAGGAUACUAUAAGACUAGGAGGCAGGAGAGGCAAGCGGUACUCAGUGGGUAGGGGUAAAAUCCGUUGAUCCAUUGAAGACCACCAGUGGCGAAGGCGGCUUGCCAGAAUGCGCUCGACGGUGAGGGAUGAAAGCUGGGGGAGCAAACAGG